GACAGAGGGUGCAAACGUUGUUCGGAAUUACUGGGCGUAAAGCGCGUGUAGGCUGCUCGGAAAGUCGGAUGUGAAAGCCCUGGGCUCAACCUAGGAAGUGCAUUCGAAACUUCCGAGCUGGAGUACUGGAGAGGAAGGCGGAAUUCUCGGUGUAGAGGUGAAAUUCGUAGAUAUCGAGAGGAACACCGGUGGCGAAGGCGGCCUUCUGGACAGUAACUGACGCUGGAGACGCGA
rnacentral:rRNA from 1 species